ACUAUGGGCAAUGAUACCACCAUA
rnacentral:siRNA from 1 species